rnacentral:rRNA from 1 species
UACGGAGGGUGCGAGCGUUGUCCGGAAUCACUGGGCGUAAAGGGCGCGUAGGUGGCCCGUUAAGUGGCUGGUGAAAUCCCGGGGCUCAACUCCGGGGCUGCCGGUCAGACUGGCGAGCUAGAGCACGGUAGGGGCAGAUGGAAUUCCCGGUGUAGCGGUGGAAUGCGUAGAGAUCCGGCGGAACACCGGUGGCGCAGGCGGCGCCCUGGGCCGAGCCCGACGCUGAGGCGCGAGAGCGUGGGGAGCGAACCGG